GAAGAAGUACAUCCCCAAGAAUCAAAAUCAAUCCACAAAUGAACUCCCCAACCCUAAACCUACCCUUUCCACUUCUCUCAGACAAUCGCUGCCUAAACCAUCCGAUUCUGCUGCUGUUACCACUUCUGCCGCGCCAUCAAUGAGUCGGAUUCAGAUGGGUGCGAAUGGAGAUUGGGUGUCUAGCAGAGCUAGUGGUGGCAGUUUCGUGAAUUACUUGCCACAGGACGAGGCCGUUGCCACUGGUCUUCGUGCCGAAGAAGGAGCAUUGGAUCCGGUGGAAUCUCAAAGAGUCGUAGACCUUUUAAACAGAGAGUUGUCUCGGCUGCUCAAGUUGAGUGCUAAAGAGUUUUGGAGGGAAGUGGCUAUGGAUACUUCCUUGCUUGAAUUUCUCGACAGCUUCCUAAAAUUCAGGAGUAGAU
rnacentral:misc_RNA from 1 species